AUUGAACGCUGGCGGCAGGCCUAACACAUGCGAGUCGAGCGGAUGAAGGGAGCUUGCUCCUGGAUUCAGCGGCGGACGGGUGAGUAAUGCCUAGGAAUCUGCCUGGUAGUGGGGGAUAACGUCCGCAAACGGGCGCUAAUACCGCAUACGUCCUGAGGGAGAAAGUGGGGGAUCUUCGGACCUCACGCUAUCAGAUGAGCCUAGGUCGGAUUAGCUAGUUGGUGGGGUAAAGGCCUACCAAGGCGACGAUCCGUAACUGGUCUGAGAGGAUGAUCAGUCACACUGGAACUGAGACACGGUCCAGACUCCUACGGGAGGCAGCAGUGGGGAAUAUUGGACAAUGGGCGAAAGCCUGAUCCAGCCAUGCCGCGUGUGUGAAGAAGGUCUUCGGAUUGUAAAGCACUUUAAGUUGGGAGGAAGGGCAGUAAGUUAAUACCUUGCUGUUUUGACGUUACCAACAGAAUAAGCACCGGCUAACUUCGUG
rnacentral:rRNA from 1 species